GGCUGAUACUCUAUACAAUUAGUACAGAAACAUUUACUCAUAAAAAAAAAAGUUUAUUUUUGAUGCUUAUGAUGUAAAACAAAUGCCAUUAUUAAUCUAUGUACACUUAUUAUGUAUGGGAGAUCAGAAGAGCACACGUCUGA